GACGAACGCUGGCGGCGUGCUUAACACAUGCAAGUCGAACGGAAAGGCCCUGCUUUUGUGGGGUGCUCGAGUGGCGAACGGGUGAGUAACACGUGAGUAACCUGCCCUUGACUUUGGGAUAACUUCAGGAAACUGGGGCUAAUACCGGAUAGGAGCUCCUGCUGCAUGGUGGGGGUUGGAAAGUUUCGGCGGUUGGGGAUGGACUCGCGGCUUAUCAGCUUGUUGGUGGGGUAGUGGCUUACCAAGGCUUUGACGGGUAGCCGGCCUGAGAGGGUGACCGGCCACCAUGGGACUGGGAUACGGCCCAAACUCCUUCGGGAGGCAACAGUGGGGAAUAAUGCACAAUGGGCGGAAGCCUGAUGCAGCAACGCCGCGUGCGGGAUGACGGCCUUCGGGUUGUAAACCGCUUUCGCCUGUGACGAAGCGUGAGUGACGGUAAUGGGUAAAGAAGCACCGGCUAACUACGUG
rnacentral:rRNA from 1 species